rnacentral:rRNA from 1 species
UAGGGAAUCUUCGGCAAUGGGGGGAACCCUGACCGAGCAACGCCGCGUGAGUGAAGAAGGUUUUCGGAUCGUAAAGCUCUGUUGUUAAGGAAGAACGAGUGUGAGAAUGGAAAGUUCAUGCUGUGACGGUACUUAACCAGAAAGGGACGGCUAACUACGUGCCAGCAGCCGCGGUAAUACGUAGGUCCCGAGCGUUGUCCGGAUUUAUUGGGCGUAAAGGGCGCGUAGGCGGGAUGGCAAGUCGGUCGUGAAAUCCCUUGGCUCAACUGAGGGGAGUCGGCCGAUACUGCUGUUCUUGAGGGAUGCAGAGGAGACUGGAAUUCCCGGUGUAGCGGUGAAAUGUGUAGAGAUCGGGAGGAACACCGGUGGCGAAGGCGGGUCUCUGGGCAUCUCCUGACGCUGAGGCGCGAAAGCGUGGGGAGCAAACGGG